GCUGGACACAGUGGUGCAUGCCUGUAAUCCCAGUGUUUUGGGAGGCUGAGACAGGAGGAUCACAAGUUCAAAGCCAGCCUCAGGGAUUUAGCCAGGUCCUAAGCAAUUUAGUAAGAUCCUGUCUUAA
rnacentral:sRNA from 1 species